AACUUUCAACAACGGAUCUCUUGGUUCUCGCAUCGAUGAAGAACGCAGCGAAAUGCGAUAAGUAAUAUGAAUUGCAGCCCUUGUGAAUCAUCGAAUCUUUGAACGCACAUUGCGCCUUGGGGUAUUCCCCAAGGCAUGCCUGUUUGAGCGUCAGC
rnacentral:rRNA from 1 species